rnacentral:rRNA from 1 species
GACGAACGCUGGCGGCGUGCUUAACACAUGCAAGUCGAACGGAAAGGCCCUGCUUGCAGGGUACUCGAGUGGCGAACGGGUGAGUAACACGUGGGUGAUCUGCCCUGCACUUCGGGAUAAGCCUGGGAAACUGGGUCUAAUACCGGAUAGGAGCCAUUUUUAGUGUGAUGGUUGGAAAGUUUUUUGGGUGUAGGAUGAGCUCGCGGCCUAUCAGCUUGUUGGUGGGGUAAUGGCCUACCAAGGCGGCGACGGGUAGCCGGCCUGGGGGGGUGGACGGCCACAUUGGGACUGGGAUACGGCCCAGACUCCUACGGGAGGCAGCAGGGGGGAAAAUUGCACAAUGGGCGCAAGCCUGAUGCAGCGACGCCGCGUGGGGGAUGACGGCCUUCGGGUUGUAAACUCGUUUCGCUAGGGACGAAGCUUUUUGUGACGGUACCUAGAGAAGAAGCACCGGCUAACUACGUG